rnacentral:rRNA from 1 species
GCUUACGGCCAUACCACGUUGAAAACACGACAUCCCGUCCGUUCUAUUAAGGUAAGCAACAUUGGGCCUGGUUGGUACUUAGAUCGGAGACGGUUUGGGAAUCCCAGGUGUUGUAGGCA